UACGUAGGGGGCAAGCGUUGUCCGGAAUUAUUGGGCGUAAAGAGCGCGUAGGCGGUCCGAUAAGUCGGCUGUGAAAGUCAAGGGCUCAACCCUUGAAAGCCGGCCGAUACUGUCGGACUAGAGUCCGGAAGAGGCGAGUGGAAUUCCCGGUGUAGCGGUGAAAUGCGCAGAUAUCGGGAGGAACACCUAUGGCGAAGGCGGCCCCCUGGGCCGUACCUGACGCUGAGGCGCGAAGGCUAGGGGAGCGAACGGG
rnacentral:rRNA from 1 species